GGCGUGCCUAAUACAUGCAAGUCGAACGGUCUUUCUAUGGAAGCUUGCUUCCACUGAGAAGAUAGUGGCGAACGGGUGAGUAACACGUGGGUAACCUGCCCAUAAGGAGGGGGAUAACAUCCGGAAACGGGUGCUAAUACCGCAUAGUUUUCUUGAUCGCAUGAUUGAGAAAGGAAAGACGGCCUUUGUGCUGUCGCUUAUGGAUGGACCCGCGGCGUAUUAGUUAGUUGGUGAGGUAACGGCUCACCAAGACGAUGAUACGUAGCCGACCUGAGAGGGUGAUCGGCCACAUUGGGACUGAGACACGGCCCAAACUCCGUACGGGAGGCAGCAGUAGGGAAUCUUCCGCAAUGGACGAAAGUCUGACGGAGCAACGCCGCGUGAGUGAAGGUAAAGGGUUUUCGGAUCGUAAAACUCUGUUGUCAGAGAAGAACAAGUUGGAGAGUAACUGCUCCAGCCUUGACGGUAUCUGACCAGAAAGCCACGGCUAACUACGUGCCAGCCGCAGC
rnacentral:rRNA from 1 species